rnacentral:rRNA from 1 species
UGAGUGCGAGCUGCUACGGCAGCGAAGUUGGUGAUGUCAUGCUUCCAAGAAAAGCCCUAUACCCGUUAAGGCAUCAUGGCCUGUACCCGAAACCGACACAGGUGGGGUGGUAGAGAAUACCGAGGGGCGCGAGGUAACUCUCUCUAAGGAACUCGGCAAAAUGGCCCCGUAACUUCGGGAGAAGGGGUGCCACCGCAAGGUGGUCGCAGUGAAGAGGCCCAGGCGACUGUUUACCAAAAACACAGGUCUCCGCUAAGUCGCAAGACGAUGUAUGGGGGCUGACGCCUGCCCAGUGCCGGAAGGUUAAGGAAGCUGGUCAGCGCAAGCGAAGCUAGCGACUGAAGCCCCGGUGAACGGCGGCCGUAACAAUAACGGUCCUAAGGUAGCGAAAUUCCUUGUCGGGUAAGUUCCGACCCGCACGAAAGGCGUAACGAUCUGGGCGCUGUCUCGGAGAGAGGCUCGGCGAAAUAGAAUUGUCUGUGAAGAUGCGGACUACGUGCACCCGGACAGAAAGACCCUAUGAAGCUUUACUGUAGCUUGGUAUUGUGCCCGGGCUCGCAAUGCGCAGGAUAGGUGGGAGGCUUUGAUCAUCGGCUUGCGGGUCGAUGUGAGCCAACGGUGAGAUACCACUCUUUGCGAGCUAGGGUUCUAACGGCCACCCGUCAUCCGGGGGCCGGACAGUACCUGGUGGGCAGUUUGACUGGGGCGGUCGCCUCCUAAAAGGUAACGGAGGCGCGCAAAGGUUUGCUCAGGCUGGUUGGAAAUCAGCCGACGAGUGUAAAGCAGAAGCAAGCUUGACUGUGAGACCAACAAGUCGAACAGGGAGGAAACUCGGCUUUAGUGAUCCGACGGUUCUGAGUGGAAGGGCCGUCGCUCAACGGAUAAAAGUUACUCUAGGAUAACAGGCUGAUCUCCCCCAAGAGUUCACAUCGACGGGGAGGUUUGGCACCUCGAUGUCGGCUCAUCGCAACCUGGGGCUGAAGUCGGUCCCAAGGGUUGGGCUGUUCGCCCAUUAAAGCGGUACGCGAGCUGGGUUCAGAACGUCGUGAGACAGUUCGGUCCAUAUCCGGUGCACGCGCAGGAAUAUUGAGAGGAUUUCUCCCUAGUACGAGAGGACCGGGAGGAACGCACCUCUGGUGUACCAGUUAUCGUGCCAACGGUAAACGCUGGGUAGCCAUGUGCGGAGUGGAUAACCGCUGAAAGCAUCUAAGUGGGAAGCCCACCUCAAGAUGAGUAUUCCCAUGGCGUAAGCCAGUAAGGUCACGGGAAGAACACCCGUCGAUAGGCUCUAUGUGGAAGCGCAGUAAUGCGUGAAGCAGAGGAGUACUAAUAGACCGAGGGCUUGA